rnacentral:rRNA from 1 species
AGUGAACGCUGGCGGUAUGCCUAACACAUGCAAGUCGAACGGCAGCACAGUAAGAGCUUGCUCUUACGGGUGGCGAGUGGCGGACGGGUGAGGAAUACAUCGGAAUCUACUUUUUCGUGGGGGAUAACGUAAGGAAACUUACGCUAAUACCGCAUACGACCUACGGGUGAAAGCAGGGGAUCUUCGGACCUUGCGCGAUUGAAUGAGCCGAUGUCGGAUUAGCUAGUUGGCGGGGUAAAGGCCCACCAAGGCGACGAUCCGUAGCUGGUCUGAGAGGAUGAUCAGCCACACUGGAACUGAGACACGGUCCAGACUCCUACGGGAGGCAGCAGUGGGGAAUAUUGGACAAUGGGCGCAAGCCUGAUCCAGCAAUACCGCGUGGGUGAAGAAGGCCUUCGGGUUGUAAAGCCCUUUUGUUGGGAAAGAAAAGCAGCAGGUUAAUACCCCGCUGUUCUGACGGUACCCAAAGAAUAAGCACCGGCUAACUUCGUG